AGGGUCUCUAACAAGAGGAGUGCAGAGGUUGGUGAAAUGGAUUGUGCAAGGAGACCUGAGAUGACACAGGGUUUACAGCCACAAGAUUGUGAAAAACAGUGUUUCACCGGACCUGUGAAUAAGAGUUCCUGUUGUUGGACCUAUAUCCUGGAUAGCAUGUGGUGUCAGUGUUUUGGA